GACGAACGCUGGCGGCGUGCCUAAUACAUGCAAGUUGAGCGCUGAAGGUUGGUACUUGUACCAACUGGAUGAGCAGCGAACGGGUGAGUAACGCGUGGGGAAUCUGCCUUUGAGCGGGGGACAACAUUUGGAAACGAAUGCUAAUACCGCAUAAAAACUUUAAACACAAGUUUUAAGUUUGAAAGAUGCAAUUGCAUCACUCAAAGAUGAUCCCGCGUUGUAUUAGCUAGUUGGUGAGGUAAAGGCUCACCAAGGCGAUGAUACAUAGCCGACCUGAGAGGGUGGUCGGCCACAUUGGGACUGAGACACGGCCCAAACGGCUACGGGAGGCAGCAGUAGGGAAUCUUCGGCAAUGGACGAAAGUCUGACCGAGCAACGCCGCGUGAGUGAAGAAGGUCUUCGGAUCGUAAAACUCUGUUGGUAGAGAAGAACGUUGGUGAGAGUGGAAAGCUCAUCAAGUGACGGUAACUACCCAGAAAGGGACGGCUAACUACGUG
rnacentral:rRNA from 1 species